rnacentral:rRNA from 1 species
GACGAACGCUGGCGGCGUGCCUAAUACAUGCAAGUAGAACGCUGAAGGAGGAGCUUGCUUCUCUGGAUGAGUUGCGAAAGGGUGAGUAACGCGUAGGUAACCUGCCUGGUAGCGGGGGAUAACUAUUGGAAACGAUAGCUAAUACCGCAUAAGAGUAGAUGUCGCAUGACAUUUGCUUAAAAGGUGCAAUUGCAUCACUACCAGAUGGACCUGCGUUGUAUUAGCUAGUUGGUGAGGUAACGGCUCACCAAGGCAACGAUACAUAGCCGACCUGAGAGGGGGAUCGGCCACACUGGGACUGAGACACGGCCCAGACUCCUACGGGAGGCAGCAGUAGGGAAUCGUCGGCAAUGGACGGAAGUCUGACCGAGCAACGCCGCGUGAGUGAAGAAGGUUUUCGGAUCGUAAAGCUCUGUUGUAAGAGAAGAACGAGUGUGAGAGUGGAAAGUUCACACUGUGACGGUAGCUUACCAGAAAGGGACGGCUAACUACGUG